rnacentral:rRNA from 1 species
CCAUACCACCCUGAACAUGCCUGAUCUCAUCUGAUCUCAGAAGCUAAGCAGGGCUGGGCCUGGUUAGUACUUGGAUGGGAGGUUUGAAUCAGAACCAUCUCUAAAGUCCUGGAGAAAAAAAAC